rnacentral:rRNA from 1 species
GAUGAACGCUAGCUACAGGCUUAACACAUGCAAGUCGCGGGACCGGCGCACGGGUGAGUCACGCGUAUCCAACCUGCCCUUCACCCCGGGAUAACCCGGCGAAAGUCGGACUAAUACCGGAUGGUGGAGGGUGGGGAUGCGUGCGAUUGGCUGGUGGGCGGGGUAAGGGCCCACAAAGGCGACGAUCGGUAGCGGGUCUGAGAGGAUGAUCCGCCACACUGGGACUGAGACACGGCCCAGACUCCUACGGGAGGCAGCAGUGGGGAAUUUUGGACAAUGGGCGCAAGCCUGAUCCAGCCAUGCCGCGUGUCUGAAGAAGGCUUCGGGUUGUAAAGGACUUUUGUCAGGGAAGCGGUACCUGAAGAAUAAGCACCGGCUAACUACGUGCCAGCAGCCGCGGUAAUAC